GAAAAAGGUGGCAAAAGCAGUUAAAUCUGCAAAAAACACCUUCAGGAUGCUCAUCCUUGCUGAACAAAGUUGCUGCUAUGUCAGGUUCAGCUGGUGAGCAUAGCAGUGAACAAAUGUGGGUAUGUCCCUUUCAUUAGCAUCUGUACCCCUCAGAUAUUUCCACUCAUUACAGCCGUCAUAAGUCUAAGCGAUCAGCUUUUCUCCCAGCUUCAAUGGUUCCAGCACACCCUUGAUGCUAUUAGAGAGGCCAAGUCCAGUUUAUCUUUGACUUCCACAAACUCCAAAAACCUCUCUGUCACUGUAUUAUCAGGCAACAUGUAUCGCAACACAACCACCAUUUGUGAUUUACAGGAGACAUCAGUUGUCUCAUCUGCCUGUAUGGCAACAAAUGAUGUCUCGUACACAGUUCUAACAGUUCGUUUUGUACCGUGCUAGACGUCCCUUUGAAGAUGGACUGAGCGUCAUAGUGCCUCUGAAGUCUCGAAUCGCCUUCACACAGUCUCAAAAUGCAUCAAUGGAGCGCCUGUAUGCACUGCCAACUUGGGCUGUGAUAUUUACCCUUCCAAUAGUAAAUGUUAUCGAUCAGCGAGGAGAGUUCGAUGAUGGAAGAUGAGGCCCCAUUGAGACCAACAGCAGCUUCGAGUCGGGAACCAGCACCGGUGGCAGCACCGACAUAGUCAACUUCCAGCGAACCACCUGGGAAUCUAUUUUCUUCACAAAAAUGUAGAACCUGUGGAAGAAACAGCAUUGGGAGCAUGAGCCUCUAACUGUCCUAAUGGAGAUGCAGGAAGCAGAUGUGGAGCAGCAGGAACUGAACUGGGCUCAGCGUGAGCAGCACCUACAGUGGGUCAUCGAAGAUGUGGCACAUGCAAGGGAGCUGGAAGCAAACUUGAGGAGGGAGGACAAUGCUCAAACGGCAGCCUUCAAUUAAGCCUUCCUUGCUACACUGAGCCAGCUUGUACAGGCAUUGAAUGGCCAGCCUUCCCCGAAUCCGCUGCCUCUGGACCAUACCCCC
ensembl:lncRNA